CACAACAGAUCGUCUGUUUCCUUCUCCUUUGGCCAUCUCUCUCUGAAGACUUGCGAAGAAAGCGAUGAUCUCAGUGCUUCGGUUAAAUCGUUACAAGAAGAUAGACCAAAAGAAGGUGGAUCAUCGAUUCUCCUCUCUGUCUUUCUUGCAGACAGAAACUUGACCAAGAAGCUGAAGGUGGAUGUAAGGCAAUAGAAGAAGCUUGCGUGAACGAGAAGCAUCUCAAGAACAUCUAUGUGGAGAGCAGGCUACCAAAAUUGAGCAGCUGACUAGUCUGGUACAUAUAUAUCUAACACAGAUAUAAGUUGGGGUUUUCAGGUGGUGGAUUGUUUAGGAAGAAAGGGUUUAAAGGAUCAUUUGUGGAUGCGGGUCAGUCUGCGAUGGUGUCUUAAAGGUGUCAUAAUGGUAUGUGUGUGCAUUAAAUUAUGUUGGUUUUGUGGUUCUUCGUAUAGGAAGAAGUAAUAAGAACUAAGUCUGAUGGGUUCAAACCUGACGGAAGCAAAAAUGGCUACUUCGUGAGGGAGAGUUUGAGUCAAUUGAGAAACAGCAUCAACAAGUCUUCUUUAGUCAUGUCGUGUAUCGAAUUUUGGAAGGGAUUCCUGAUGAUACUUAAGAUAUUGAUCAUAUCGUGAAACAACUCCAUCGCCAAACCAAAAUGCCUAAACUUAACCAAUCCAUGUAAGAGAGGACUCAAAAAAGUUCUCACUUCAGGCAGUAAACUAACUUUCGUCAUCAUCAUCUUAAACACUAAAACCCCCCAUAUAAAGCUCUCUCCUACUUCAAACAUAAUGCUGAAAUCAACAAAUCAAAACUCGACCUUAAACUAAGCUUACAUUUCUCAUAACAACUAAAAAGCGCAUC